AGUGGAUGGGGAGCAACCUAGUUGUGCGUGUGUAAAGGUAGUGCCAAGAAAAGCGAUGAUCAUGUUGAAAAUCAAUUCCCGGUACCCGAAACCGACACAGGUGGGCAAGUAGAGAAUACUAAGGGGCGCGAGGUAACUCUCUCCAAGGAACUCGGCAAAAUGACCCCGUAACUUAGGGAGAAGGGGUGCCACCGAGAGGUGGUCGCAGUGAAGAGGCCCAGGCGACUGUUUAGCAAAAACAUAGGUCUCUGCAAACUCGAAAGAGGAGGUAUAGGGGCUGACGCCUGCCCAGUGCCGGAAGGUUAAAGAAGUUGGUCAGUUUUAGGAUGAAGCUAGCGACUGAAGCCCCGGUGAACGGCGGCCGUAACUAUAACGGUCCUAAGGUGCGAAAUUCCUUGUCGGGUAAGUUCCGACCCGCACGAAAGGCGUAACGAUCUGGGCGCUGUCUCGGAGAGAGGCUCGGCGAAAUAGGAUUGUCUGUGAAGAUACGGACUACCUGCAUUUGGACAGAAAGACCCUAUGAAGCUUUACUAUAGCUUGGAAUUGUGUUCGGGCUUCCUGUGCGCAGGAUAGGUGGGAGGCGUAGAAGGUAUUCUUGUGGGGAUACUGGAGCCAACGGUGAGAUACCACUCUCAGGAGGCUAGAAUUCUAACUUAAUUAAGGACAGUUUCAGGUGGGUAGUUUGACUGGGGCGGUCGCCUCCAAAAAGGUAACGGAGGCGUACAAAGGUUCCCUCAGACUGGUUGGAAAUCAGUCGAAGAGUGCAAAGGCAGAAGGGAGCUUGACUGCGAGAAGUACAGUUCGAGCAGGGUGGAAACACGGUCUUAGUGAUCCGACGGUGCUGUGUGGAAGGGCCGUCGCUCAACGGAUAAAAGUUACUCUAGGAUAACAGGCUGAUCUCCCCCAAGAGUUCACAUCGACGGGGAGGUUUGGCACCUCGAUGUCGGCUCAUCGCAACCUGGGGCGGAAGUACGUCCCAAGGGUUGGGCUGUUCGCCCACUAAAGCGGUACGUGAGCUGGGUUCAGAACGUCGUGAGACAGUUCGGUCCAUAUCCGAUGUAGGCGUGAGAAUAUUGAGAGGAGCCUUCCUUAGUACGAGAGGACCGGGAAGGACGCACCGCUGGUGUACCUGUUAUGAUGCCAAUUGUAAACGCAGGGUAGCCAAGUGCGGAGAGGACAACCGCUGAAAGCAUCUAAGUGGGAAGCCCACCUCAAGAUGAGUAUUCAGGUGUAAGGUCACGGGAAGACGACCCGUAAAUAGGCACGAGGUGGAAGUGCAGAGAUGUUUGAAGCCGAAGUGUACUAAUAGACCGUCGGCUUGA
rnacentral:rRNA from 1 species